AAGUCGUAACAAGGUUUCCGUAGGUGAACCUGCGGAAGGAUCAUUACAAUACUAUAUAAUGGUUUUUUUCGAAAAACCAUUAUUCUGUGAUUCCGUAUACGUUCACUUUGGCAGGCUUUGGGUUGUCGUAUAGCUAGCCCAACUUUCAAAUAUAUCUCUUUUUCGAGGUAGUGUGAAAGCCGGCCUGCCAGAGGUUUUUUAAAAAUCGCUUGUUUAAAUUAUCGUCUGAAAAAUUCUCUCAUUCUUGAGAGAAAUAAAUACAAAUUUAAAAUACAACUUUCAACAACGGAUCUCUUGGCUCUC
rnacentral:misc_RNA from 1 species